rnacentral:rRNA from 1 species
UACAGAGGUCCCGAGCGUUGUUCGGAUUCAUUGGGCGUAAAGGGUGCGUAGGCGGCGGGGCCAGUCUGAUGUGAAAUCCCAGGGCUCAACCCUGGAACUGCAUUGGAUACUGCCUUGCUAGAGUACUGGAGAGGGAACUGGAAUUUACGGUGUAGCAGUGAAAUGCGUAGAGAUCGUAAGGAAGACCAGUGGCGAAGGCGGGUCUCUGGACAGUUCCUGACGCUGAGGCACGAAGGCCAGGGGAGCAAACGGG